rnacentral:rRNA from 1 species
AACGAACGCUGGCGGCAUGCCUAAUACAUGCAAGUCGAACGAGAUCUUCGGAUCUAGUGGCGCACGGGUGCGUAACGCGUGGGAAUCUGCCCUUGGGUUCGGAAUAACAGCUGGAAACGGCUGCUAAUACCGGAUGAUGACGAGAGUCCAAAGAUUUAUCGCCCAGGGAUGAGCCCGCGUAGGAUUAGCUAGUUGGUGGGGUAAAGGCCUACCAAGGCGACGAUCCUUAGCUGGUCUGAGAGGAUGAUCAGCCACACUGGGACUGAGACACGGCCCAGACUCCUACGGGAGGCAGCAGUAGGGAAUAUUGGACAAUGGGCGAAAGCCUGAUCCAGCAAUGCCGCGUGAGUGAUGAAGGCCUUAGGGUUGUAAAGCUCUUUUACCCGAGAUGAUAAUGACAGUAUCGGGAGAAUAAGCUCCGGCUAACUCCGUGCCAGCCGCCGCGGUAAUAC